GAAGGCUUCACAAAUUGGCAUCAACGCACCAACAAGCUGUGGAACCAAUCCAUGCAAAGAAAGUAUCUGGAUACAGUCGACAGAUGAUAUACCAACAAUAAGAACAUUCAGAAAUGGAGCAUAGCUAAUCAAAUGGCUAUCACUUCCAGAAUAAUCAGAAGGAACACUAGGUGAUAGCAGCCAAGUGAUAAAUAGAACCGUAUGUUCCUGAAUAUUCCAACCACGAGCAAGAGAAGCCCCACAGAGAAUAGUAGCGGC
rnacentral:misc_RNA from 1 species